rnacentral:lncRNA from 1 species
GCCAGGGAGAGGAAAACGCUAACGCCGUGGCUACGAGACGUGGCCCUCUGCAGAAACACCUCCUGCUCCAUCCCGUCCUGCUGGAGAAGCUGGGGGCCGGGUGUACCCCAUGGCGAGGGGCCCCCCCCCCGGGUGCGCGUCCCCAGCGCGGGGCGCAAGGCGGGGGCCGGGGCGCACGGCGCUGCUCGGGGUGAGCGGAGCAGCUGUGUUUACUUUCCAUCCGCUGGAGGGAACAACAGGGGAUUUUUUUUUGGGUUUUGUUUUGCUUUAUUCCAUUUCAUUUUUCUUUUUUUUUUCUUUUUUUUUUUUUUUCGAGGCUUUGCGUGUCCUUCACCAGCCAGAAACCGUCACAUAAACAUCCGGCCGCUCCGCCAGGCGCGGCGAGGGAGGACGCGUCCUGCCUCCCCCCUCCGGCCUCCCCCUCCGGGUCCGGGUGGCACCGGAGGGAUCCCCCUGGGCUGGGCAGGGUUGGCACGCUCGGAUAAUGCCCCCAGGGUCCCCGGCACGAGGGACGUGGGGGACAGAGGCUGUGCGCUGGUGGCGGCCGGCUUGGAGGAACGCAGUCCGGAGCUUCGGAGAGAUUUCGGAGCUCGUGCUGUGCCGGGGCAGGAGGCGCGGGGAGGCCCUGAGCACCUCUGCCAAGCCUUAAUCAGCAGGGAAACGGAGCCAUACCUGGGUGGGACCGAUGCUAACGGCUGCCGUGGGUGUCCAAGGGGCUCCGGGGACUUGGGACAAAGCCACGGCUUGGGGACACAGCAGCCUGAGGCUGAGGGGGACUCGGGACCUGCGGCUGGCCCCGAGCACCGUGCCCUGCAGCGCGCAGGAGAGGAAGCAGCGUGCUUCGAAGCAAACCUUCCCCUCCGAGCUCCUGAGACGCUCACCACCAGCAUUUUGGCCAAGGGGCUGCAUCCAGGCAGAGCAUCCUCGGGUUUGGGGCAGGUGGGAGCAUCCCGGAGGGAUCCCUGCGGGGCCGUGCCUGCCGGGAGAGCAGCCCCAGCGCCCGGCCGAGGCCUGGCAGCGGCGGAGGAUUUGCUUUGUUUACUCUGCAACUUUGGCUAUGGCUGGAGUUUGUUAAGGGGUCAGGCUGAUUGGGCUGUUUUCCUGUACUUUACAAUUUCCUAUGUGGUGCUUUAAUAGACGUUAGGGCGCCUACAGCUACAGAAAGGCACUUUAUUUUAUUUUGGAAAUGGAGGGAAAUAAAGAAAUAAAUGCACCCA